rnacentral:rRNA from 1 species
CGAACGCAUGCACUUUUCUUCUGGUAGGACGUCGCGAUUCGUCGAGAGUCGAUUUACGAUUUGCGAGGGAGUCCUUACUUUUUUUUCCCUUAGGAAAAAAAAGUAAGGACCCGUAACAUCCCNANGACUUCUCAACGGUAUACGAACGGUCGAGGGUCGCUCUAGAAGCGUUCGACACGCGGCAAGCGCGCCGGAUGCACGUCUGCGUUCGGACCUAGUGCCGAAUCAGACCUCCGGUGACUGUUGGCCGCGCCGUCCUUGAACAGACCUCGAAUUCCUAAAAAACCGAUCAGGGACGGUAUUGCUUUGGGUACUUUCAGGACCCGUCUUGAAACACGGACCAAGGAGUCUAGCAUGUACGCGAGUCAUUGGGAAUCUCGAAACCUAAAGGCAUAAUGAAAGUAAAAGUCUGCCUAGCGCUGACUUAGGGAAGAUGGGCGUCGUUUCUCGUCCGGUUCCGGACGGGCGCGUUCCGCAUUCCCGGGGCGUUUCGUUCUCAUCGCGAGAAGAGGCGCACCAAAAGCGUAC